CUACGGGGGGCUCCAGCUAAGAAUCUUCCGCAAUGGGCGAAAGCCUGACGGAGCGACGCCGCGUGGGUGAAGAAGGCCGAGAGGUUGUAAAGCCCUUUUCUGCUUGAGGAAUAAGCAUCGGAGGGAAUGCCGGUGUGAUGACGGUAGGGCAGGAAUAAGCCCCGGCUAAUUACGUGCCAGCAGCCGCGGUAACACGUAUGGGGCGAGCGUUGUUCGGAAUCAUUGGGCGUAAAGGGCGUGCAGGCGGAAAUGCAAGUCUGGUGUGAAAGACCGCAGCUCAACUGCGGGACCGCGCUGGAAACUGCAUAUCUUGAGUUCCGGAGGGGGAGUUGGAAUUCCUGGUGUAGGGGUGAAAUCUGUUGAUAUCAGGAAGAACACCGGUGGCGAAGGCGAACUCCUGGACGAGAACUGACGCUGAGGCGCGAAAGCGUGGGGAGCGAACAGGAUUAGAUACCCGGGUAGUC
rnacentral:rRNA from 1 species